GACGAACGCUGGCGGCGUGCUUAACACAUGCAAGUCGAACGGAAAGGCGCUGCUUUUGCGGGGCGCUCGUGUGGCGAGCAGGUGAGUAACACACGUGUAACCCGCACCUGACUUUGUGAUAAAUUCAGGGAAAUGGGGAUCAUACCGGAUAUGAGAUCCUGAUGCAUGGUGGUGGAUGGAGAGAUUCGGCGGUUCGGGAUCGAAUCGAGGCUUAUCCGCUAGUUGGUCGGGUAGGUGCUGACAAGGUCUUUGAAGGGUAGGCGGCAUUGGAGGGUGGCCGGCCACAUUGGGACUGAGAGACGCCGCAGACUCCUACCGGACGCAGCGGUGGGGAAUAUUGCGGAGUGGGCGGAAGCCAGAUGCAGCAAUGCCGCGUGCGGGAUGACGUCCUUCUGGUUGUAAACCGCUGUCUACGGAGACGUACACUGAGUGACGGUAAUGGGUAAGGAAGCAACGGCUAACUACGUG
rnacentral:rRNA from 1 species